rnacentral:piRNA from 1 species
UAGUCAAAAAGUUCAGGUGCACUUGAG